ACACUCCUGCGGGAGGCAGCAGUGGGGAAUAUUGCACAAUGGGCGCAAGCCUGAUGCAGCCAUGCCGCGUGUAUGAAGAAGGCCUUCGGGUUGUAAAGUACUUUCAGCGGGGAGGAAGGCGAUAAGGUUAAUAACCUUGUUGAUUGACGUUACCCGCAGAAGAAGCACCGGCUAACUCCGUGCCAGCAGCCGCGGUAAUACGGAGGGUGCAAGCGUUAAUCGGAAUUACUGGGCGUAAAGCGCACGCAGGCGGUCUGUCAAGUCGGAUGUGAAAUCCCCGGGCUCAACCUGGGAACUGCAUUCGAAACUGGCAGGCUAGAGGCUUGUAGAGGGGGGUAGAAUUCCAGGUGUAGCGGUGAAAUGCGUAGAGAUCUGGAGGAAUACCGGUGGCGAAGGCGGCCCCCUGGACAAAGACUGACGCUCAGGUGCGAAAGCGUGGGGAGCAAACAGGAUUAGAUACCCGGGUAGUCCCAUGA
rnacentral:rRNA from 1 species